CCCCGCGUACCAUUCCCCUUGAGUUUGACAUGGCUCAGGACGAACGCUGGCGGCGCGCUUACACAUGCAAGUCGAGCGAGAACCAGACCUUCGGGUCUGGGGAAAGCGGCGAACGGGUGAGUAACACGUGAGUAACCUGUCCUCGGCACCGGGAUAGCCCGGGGAAACCCGGAUUAAUACCGGAUGGCCUUUCGAGCUCUCGGGCUCGUUAGAAAAGGUAGCUUCGGCCUCCGGCCGAGGAGGGACUCGCGGCGGAUUAGCUUGUUGGUGAGGUAACGGCUCACCAAGGCGACGAUCCGUAGCUGGUCUGAGAGGACGAUCAGCCACACUGGGACUGAGACACGGCCCAGACUCCUACGGGAGGCAGCAGUGGGGAAUCUUGCGCAAUGGGCGAAAGCCUGACGCAGCGACGCCGCGUGCGGGAAGAAGGCCUUCGGGUUGUAAACCGCUUUCAGGAGGGACGAAGCCACUCGGGUUAAUAGCCCAGAGGGUGACGGUACCUCCAGAAGAAGCCCCGGCUAACUACGUGCCAGCAGCCGCGGUAAUACGUAGGGGGCAAGCGUUGUCCGGAUUUAUUGGGCGUAAAGAGCGUGUAGGCGGCCCGGCAGGUCCGUUGUGAAAACUCGAGGCUCAACCUCGAGACGUCGAUGGAAACGCCGGGCUAAGUCCGAAGAGGAGAGUGGAUUCCUGGUGUAGCGGUGAAUGCGCAAUAUCAGAGACACCGUGGCAAGCGUCUCUGGACGUCUGACCUAAGCGAACUGGGACGACAGAUAAUCCUGUAUCACCU
rnacentral:rRNA from 1 species